UACGUAGGUGGCUAGCGUUGUCCGGAUUUACUGGGCGUAAAGAGCGCGCAGGCGGUCGUUCAAGUCGAGUGUGAAAGCCCCCGGCUCAACUGGGGAGGGUCACUCGAUACUGAUCGACUCGAAGGCAGGAGAGGGAAGCGGAAUUCCCGGUGUAGUGGUGAAAUGCGUAGAUAUCGGGAGGAACACCAGUGGCGAAGGCGGCUUUCUGGGCCUGCCUCUUGGACGCUGAGGCGCGAAAGCUAGGGUAGCAAACGGGG
rnacentral:rRNA from 1 species